rnacentral:misc_RNA from 1 species
GUGAAUCAUCGAAUCUUUGAACGCACAUUGCGCCUCUUGGUAUUCCGAGAGGCAUGCCUGUUUGAGUGUCUUAUAAAAUCAAUCCCCAUGGGUUUUCCCGUCGGUGGACUUGGACUUGGGUGUCUGCCUUCUGGCUCGCCUCAAAUACGUUAGCGGGACAAGCUGCCUUAUGGCCCGACGUGAUAAGUUUCGUCUGACCUGGCCCCUUAUGCCUGCUCAUAACCCGCCCUCGGGCAACACUUUAUGCUGGACCUCAAAUCAGGUAGGACUACCCGCUGAACUUAAGCAUAUCAAUAAGCG